UUAGUGUUCUCACAAAGAACACGUGAGUCUAAGUGCAGUUUAUAUUCUGAGAAGAAACAGCUCAGUUUAUUUCCCGCCAGGCCUCAGGCCGCCACGUGGAGAGGACGACACGAUGGAGACCAGAGACAAGAUGUUGAAGUCACGGUGGCAGCUCCCUGUGAGAGUUGACCAACCCUCGUGAUGAAGUCCCCAUGAUGUCUCCAGUAGGAGAUCAGAAUGUGCCCUUCGAGAUCCUGGAAGCCGGAGCUUCCAUGAGAUGUGAAGCAGGACGACGCUCCUGCUGUUUGCUGCAGUGGGUUUGAUUGGUGUCCUGAAAGAUUCUCUGGAAAGGGAUCAUGCAAAGGUCCACUGCUCCAUCACCUUGAGAUCUUUUGUCGAUUCCUCGGCCUGACGUCUGCCGUGCAGUGAAUGUGACAGGUUCAGUUGGUGCCCUGAUGGAUUCCCUGGAAAGGAAUUCAGCUAAAGGUCAAUCUGCUCCAUCACCUUGAGAUCUUGUUUAGUUGGUGUACUGACAGAUUCCCAGGAAAGGGAUUAAUCCAAAGGUGUGAACCUGCUCCAUCUUCAGAUCUUAUCACAGAAUCCUGAAAUUGUCUGAAGAUGAACGUCAUUGUGUUUGUUCAAAUGUAUUUCACUCUUUAAAAAGUGCUUUAUUAAAAGAACUUGUAUCAAAAUGUC